UAAAUUUCCACCAUUUUUUGCAGUAAUUUUAUCAUUCAUUUUUUGUACAAACAUGUGUUCUGGUUUAUAUGUCUCUCUGUUCUAGCUCUUCUUCCCAAUCUGCCAUGAUGAUCAUUGGUUCCUAUUUGUUGUCGAUUUGCAUAACAAGUUAUUUCUGUUUCUAGACUCUCAUUUCUCCAAGGAUGAUGAAUAUCAAAUAUUUGCUCAUUAGAAGCUGAUACCAAGGUUCAGACAUGUGUGGCAUGAAUUUGUUCGUGCUGAGAUGCCUUUUCACAAGUUUAAGAUUACUUAUCCUUUUGUUCCAAAACAAAACAAUAUAGUUGAUUGGGUGUGUUUGUUAUCAAGUUCAUGGAGCUAUGGAGGUUCGGAGUGAAGAUGUUGGAUGAGUUUUCACAAGAUGACAUCAGCAACAUUAGAGUUCAAAUUGUCACUGAUUUACUAUUUAGUGAGCACAACACCGCUGAUACAAGUGUAGUCAAGAACUACUACACAUAGUUUUGGGAGUAUUUUCUGAGUGUUUCUCUUUUUUUGGCACAUGUGGAUGAUGGCUGAAAAAUCGCAUAGCUUAGAUAAUAUAGACAAGUGGAAGCA